AAAAAGACAAAUCUGGUUUCCGUGUCUAACGUUUGACCAUUUAUCUUAUUUGAAAAAAUUAUAAAAAAAAUUAAAAAGACAAGUCACGCAUAAAAUAUUAAUUAUGUUUUAUCAUCUAACAAAAUAAAAAUACGAAUUAUAAAAAUAUUUCAUAUAAGACGGACAGUUAAAGUUGGACACGGAAAUCCAGGGUUUGUCUUUUU
rnacentral:pre_miRNA from 1 species